rnacentral:rRNA from 1 species
GGUGGGCACUCUAGAAUGACUGCCGGUGACAAACCGGAGGAAGGGGGGGAUGACGUCAAAUCAUCAUGCCCCUUAUGACCUGGGCUACACACGUACUACAAUGGCCAAUACAACGGGAAGCGAAGCCGCGAGGUGGAGCCAAUCCUAUCAAAGCCGGUCUCAGUUCGGAUUGCAGGCUGCAACUCGCCUGCAUGAAGUCGGAAUUGCUAGUAAUCGCGGAUCAGC